UACGUAGGGUGCGAGCGUUAAUCGGAAUUACUGGGCGUAAAGCGUGCGCAGGCGGUUCGCCAAGUCAGGUGUGAAAUCCCCGGGCUUAACCUGGGAAUUGCGCUUGAAACUAGCGGGCUUGAGUGUGGCAGAGGGGGGUGGAAUUCCACGUGUAGCAGUGAAAUGCGUAGAUAUUCGGAAGAACACCAGUGGCGAAGGCGACUCACUGGACAUGUAUUGACGCUGAGGUGCGAAAGCGUGGGGAGCAAACAGG
rnacentral:rRNA from 1 species